GACGAACGCUGGCGGCGUGCUUAGCACAUGCAAGUCGAGCGGUAAGGCCCUUCGGGGUACACGAGCGGCGAACGGGUGAGUAACACGUGGGUGACCUGCCUCUAGCUCUGGGAUAAGCCUGGGAAACUGGGUCUAAUACCGGAUAUGACUCCACGGCGCAUGUUGUGGGGUGGAAAGCCUUGUGUGGCUAGAGAUGGGCCCGCGGCCUAUCAGCUUGUUGUGGGGUGAUGGCCUACCAAGGCGACGACGGGUAGCCGGCCUGAGAGGGCGACCGGCCACACUGGGACUGAGACACGGCCCAGACUCCUACGGGAGGCAGCAGUGGGGAAUCUUGCGCAAUGGGCGAAAGCCUGACGCAGCGACGCCGCGUGAGGGAUGACGGCCUCGGUGUAAC
rnacentral:rRNA from 1 species